UCCUUUUCAAGUGGUGGGAUGUUUCACUU
rnacentral:piRNA from 1 species